rnacentral:rRNA from 1 species
UACGUAGGGUGCAAGCGUUGUCCGGAAUUAUUGGGCGUAAAGAGCUCGUAGGCGGCUUGUCGCGUCGAAUGUGAAAUCUCAGGGCUCAACUCUGACAUUGCAUUCGAUACGGGCAGGCUAGAGUUCGGUAGGGGAGACUGGAAUUCCUGGUGUAGCGGUGAAAUGCGCAGAUAUCAGGAGGAACACCGGUGGCGAAGGCGGGUCUCUGGGCCGAUACUGACGCUGAGGAGCGAAAGCGUGGGGAGCGAACAGG